rnacentral:lncRNA from 1 species
CUUGCCCUUCUGGCUCAUUUUCCUCCUCUUGGCGGCCUCCUCCUGGUCCUCCUCCCUCAUCUGCUUAUUGGUGGCCCUAGUCACAUCCAGCUGAGGCUUCUUGCUGUUCAUGACACGAAGCAGCUCCAACUGGUUCUUUUUCUCGGCUGCAAAGUCCCCGAAAAGGGGUUGAAACUUCCUUUUCUUGCCGGAGCCCCGGGGCACCUUCUCCUUGGGGAGGCGCUCCUGAAAGCGCCCCACAGAGGCGGUGGAGACCUUGGCCACUUGCAUGGCGCGGCCCAGCUCCUCCUUACUCUGGUGUCCGGUAGGGUGCAAGCCGGCCGCGCUGGGCAGCUGCAUCUUGUGCGCGCGGGCCAGGUUACGCAGCCGGUUCAGCUCGUUCUUGGCCACCCUUUCCUUCUUGGCCUGAAUCCGCUUGGCGAACUGGUCCUCCAAGGGGUCGGCAUUGCCGGGCACCUCAAUCAGCCAUUCUUUGGUGUCGUCCCGGGCGCGCUGGUAGCCCCAGCGCCGCCGCCACUGGCCACUCACCUCGUCCCACACCAGAGACAGAAACUGAAAACCAUGGUUUCAGGCUGCUAAAAACCUAACAUGAAACAAAACAGAAGAACAACAACAACAAAAUAAGGAAGAGUGACCUAUGGGAUCCAUGGAGGAGCUGCUUCCUGAAUCUGUGUAAAGUAGAUCUUGCCGUGUGGGUAACUGUGACUGCGGUGGCCAUGAAGAGGCACAACUCAGACCUCGGAUCUCCUGCUGCAGAGAACAUUGACUGACAGCCCAGCAGCUCCUGUCUGGAUCUACCACCUGUUCACAAUUCUGAAAUACAUUCAACGCACACUUUCCUACUGAGAUUUCUAAAAUGGGACUUGGAAAACAGAAAAAUACGUAAGCAUCCUCUUUCAGGCCAGUAAAGUGGGGUACUAUCAUCUAAAUCUCCAAAAAGGUCAUUCAACUCUGAUCCCUGUUUAAAGAGAGAAAAAAGGAAUAAAGGAGCCUUUGAAGGCAGAAUAUUGCUCACUCAUCUCUUUGAAAGGACCUCAGACUGCAGAGCAGAAGAACCACUGGCUACAUCAGCUGGGGCAGAGGGGGAUGAAGAGAACAUCAUGAUGCCUGCAAAAAAGUGGGCUCUGCAGGAUCUCCAGUCACCUCCCUUCCCUUCAGAUCCAGAGCUCUCUCUGGCUAGGACCUUCCAGAGUUCCAGAAUUUUUGUUCCACCUUCCAUUGCUCACUUCUAUUACUAUUACUAAGAUAUUCACAUGGAAUUCUGUGCAAACCAUUUUUUUUUUCUUUUGGUGCCCUCUUUGUUUUACUUCCUCUAUUGGGACUAAUGGCCAUCUGACUUGGGGGUCCUUU